rnacentral:rRNA from 2 species
GGAUUCCCCUAGUAACUGCGAGUGAAGCGGGAAAAGCUCAAAUUUAAAAUCUGGCAGUCUUGCUACUGUCCGAGUUGUAAUUUAGAGAAGCGUUAUCCGUGCUGGACCGUGUACAAGUCUCCUGGAACGGAGCGUCAUAGAGGGUGAGAAUCCCGUCCAUGACACGGACUACCAGUGCAUUGUGAUGCGCUCUCAAAGAGUCGAGUUGUUUGGGAAUGCAGCUCUAAAUGGGUGGUAAAUUCCAUCUAAAGCUAAAUAUAGGCGAGAGACCGAUAGCGAACAAGUACCGUGAGGGAAAAAUGAAAAGAACUUUGGAAAGAGAGUUAAACAGUACGUGAAAUUGUUGAAAGGGAAACGCUUGAAGUCAGUCGCGUCGUUCAGGGAUCAGCCAUGCUCUGCUUGGUGUACUUCCUGUUCGACGGGUCAGCAUCAGUUUCGACCGUUGGAAAAAGUGCGCAGGAAUGUGGCAUCCUCGGAUGUGUUAUAGCCUGUGUUCGUAUACGGCGGUUGGGACUGAGGAAUCCGCACAGAUGCUUGGGAUGCUGGCAUAAUGGCUUUAAGCGGCCCGUCUUGAAACACGGACCAAGGAGUCUAACAUGCCCGCGAGUGUUUGGGUGGAAAACCCGAGCGCGUAAUGAAAGUGAAAAGUUGGGAUCUCUGUCGUGGAGAGCACCGACGCCCGGACCAGAUGUUUUCGGACGGUUCUGCGGUAGAGCGUGUAUGUUGGGACCCGAAAGAUGGUGAACUAUGCCUGAAUAGGGCGAAGCCAGAGGAAACUCUGGUGGAGGCUCGUAGCGAUUCUGACGUGCAAAUCGAUCGUCGAAUUUGGGUAUAGGGG